rnacentral:rRNA from 1 species
UACGGGGGGGGCAAGCGUUGUUCGGAAUUACUGGGCGUAAAGGGUGCGUAGGCGGUUCGCUAAGUUGGAUGUGAAAACUAUGGGCUCAACUCAUAGCCUGCAUCCAAUACUGACGAACUAGAGUUCUGGAGGGGGUAGCGGAAUUCCUGGUGUAGCGGUGAAAUGCGUAGAUAUCAGGAGGAACACCGGUGGCGAAGGCGGCAUCCUGGACCAACACUGACACUGAGGAGCGAAAGCCAGGGGAGCAAACGGG